rnacentral:lncRNA from 1 species
GUGGGGGCCCGGGAAGCCGCAGCUCACCACAGGUGAGCGGGCCUGCCGCCGGAAGGGGCGGGUACUCGCGGGCCGUGACUCGGAAGAGAAGCCAGUGGGCGGAGAGCCUUUGGGCGGACGUUCGGGAGAGCGGGCCAAUGAGGGUGGGGCUCAGGAGGUACGCGGAGGGGCGGUGCCCAAUGAGGGGCGGGGACUCAGCCAGCGCGGUAUUGGUCGGGUAAGUGGAAGAGGGCAGAGCAAAAGUACUAAGGAGGAACGGGCCAAUGAGAGCGGGGCUCAGAGGAGGUUCCCAAAGAGCAGAUAUUCCAUUAGUCAGGGCAGGUGGGGGCGUGGCCACGUGUGGGCGGGGCAGCAUACCCCGAAUGGUCUACUACUCUAUUGGCUGGAGACUGGGAGGGGCGGGACGAUGAGAAAAGACCUCAAUGGGUGGAGACAGAGAGUCGGGAGGGGUGAGUUCGGUGAAGAAGGGGCUUAGACUCAGUAGGCGGCUAUUCCAUUGGUCAAGGGCCACGGAGAGGCGGGGGAAAGGGAAAGAUAUGAAGCUCCAGAGGGCGGGGAGAGAGCUCAUUGGGUACAGGUGCUGGGGGCGGGGCCCACGCGGGAUCCUGAGCUGUGGUAGGUCGAGGGGAGCGCUCGGGAGGAGUCCUCGGAAGCAGGGCGCGGAGGGGCGGGGCCGUCAGGAAGCAUAAUGGGCGGGGCUUCGGCGCCGUCUGAGCACUAAAGGGACUUGGAUCCCGGAAGGUGCGGUGCCGCCGGCCGCCCUGAGGCGGGAGCUGCUGGGGUUAGGGUUAGGUUCUGGGGAAGGCAGGCGGCGGGAAGUGCGCGGAACACGGCGACCCACAGGGUCUCCCGGCCUGGCCGGUUGUCUCCGUGGAGGACGGGCCGAGUCAGGGGCGAACGUCUGCUCCAUCUGCUCCCGCGGCGCCCCUGUCGACCCUCAGAACAUUCCCAGCCCGACAGGGGCCUGGCUGCCUUCCCCAGCCCCAGCCCCAGCCCCAGCCCCUGAUAGCCGUAAACCACUUCCUGUCUCUGGAUUCACCUGUCCAGCACGUUUCACAGCAGUGGCCCCGCACUCUGUGUCCUUUUCCACCGUCUCACGCGGAGCCCCCUGGCCUCGGUGUCCGCCUGUGUUGUGGCACGUGUUAGAGCCCCGUCCCUUUUCGUGGCUGCAUAAUAUUCCGCCGUGUCUCCGUCGUAUCUUCAUCGCCCCUUCCUGGUUCCUGCCUCUUGGCUGCACCCAGUGGCAGGUGGCGGAGGCAACCGCCCUGGUCCACACACUGGACGGCUGGUCAGUGGUGCGGACCAUGGUGGUGCCCACCAAGACGCCUGACAAGAAGCUCAUCUUCGGAAGAGGGAACCUGGAGCACCUGUCAGAGAGGAUCCGGGCGUCUCCAGAAGUCACAUCCGUGUUCCUGAACGUGGAGCGGAUGGCCGUCCCCACCAAGAGAGAGCUGGAGGCGGCCUGGGGCGUGGAGGUGUUUGACCGCUUCACCCUCGUCCUGCACAUCUUCCGCCGCAACGCCCGCACCAAGGAGGCCAAGCUGCAGGUGGCGCUGGCCGAGGUCCCCCUGCUCAGGUCCGCCGGAGGUGUCACCGCGGGUUUCCACCGCUGGGUCCUUACUGGGCGGGGGUCCUAGGUCGGGAUCCGGCGCACCAGGA